UACAGAGGAUGCAAGCGUUAUCCGGAAUGAUUGGGCGUAAAGCGUCUGUAGGUGGCUUUUUAAGUCCGCCGUCAAAUCCCAGGGCUCAACUCUGGACAGGCGGUGGAAACUACCAAGCUGGAGUACGGUAGGGGCAGAGGGAAUUUCCGGUGGAGCGGUGAAAUGCGUAGAGAUCGGCAGGAACACCCAGGGGGAAACCAGCCGACUGGGCAUCUACUGACGCUGAGGUGCGAGAGCGUGGGGAGCGAACCGG
rnacentral:rRNA from 1 species